UCCGAAUUGGUGUAGUGGCUAACAUUUGACGCUCUCAUGGUUCAACGACCUGGCGAUCCGUCAAGCCCGGGGUUCGAUUCCCCGAUUCGGAG
rnacentral:tRNA from 1 species